rnacentral:rRNA from 2 species
UCCUGGCUCAGGACGAACGCUGGCGGCGUGCCUAAUACAUGCAAGUCGAACGAACUCUGGUAUUGAUUGGUGCUUGCAUCAUGAUUUACAUUUGAGUGAGUGGCGAACUGGUGAGUAACACGUGGGAAACCUGCCCAGAAGCGGGGGAUAACACCUGGAAACAGAUGCUAAUACCGCAUAACAACUUGGACCGCAUGGUCCGAGCUUGAAAGAUGGCUUCGGCUAUCACUUUUGGAUGGUCCCGCGGCGUAUUAGCUAGAUGGUGGGGUAACGGCUCACCAUGGCAAUGAUACGUAGCCGACCUGAGAGGGUAAUCGGCCACAUUGGGACUGAGACACGGCCCAAACUCCUACGGGAGGCAGCAGUAGGGAAUCUUCCACAAUGGACGAAAGUCUGAUGGAGCAACGCCGCGUGAGUGAAGAAGGGUUUCGGCUCGUAAAACUCUGUUGUUAAAGAAGAACAUAUCUGAGAGUAACUGUUCAGGUAUUGACGGUAUUUAACCAGAAAGCCACGGCUAACUACGUGCCAGCAGCCGCGGUAAUACGUAGGUGGCAAGCGUUGUCCGGAUUUAUUGGGCGUAAAGCGAGCGCAGGCGGUUUUUUAAGUCUGAUGUGAAAGCCUUCGGCUCAACCGAAGAAGUGCAUCGGAAACUGGGAAACUUGAGUGCAGAAGAGGACAGUGGAACUCCAUGUGUAGCGGUGAAAUGCGUAGAUAUAUGGAAGAACACCAGUGGCGAAGGCGGCUGUCUGGUCUGUAACUGACGCUGAGGCUCGAAAGUAUGGGUAGCAAACAGGAUUAGAUACCCUGGUAGUCCAUACCGUAAACGAUGAAUGCUAAGUGUUGGAGGGUUUCCGCCCUUCAGUGCUGCAGCUAACGC